UACGUAGGGUGCGAGCGUUGUCCGGAAUUAUUGGGCGUAAAGAGCUCGUAGGCGGUGUGUCACGUCGGCCGUGAAAACCUGCAGCUUAACUGUGGGCGUGCGGUCGAUACGGGCAUCACUGGAGUCCGGCAGGGGAGACUGGAAUUCCUGGUGUAGCGGUGAAAUGCGCAGAUAUCAGGAGGAACACCGGUGGCGAAGGCGGGUCUCUGGGCCGAUACUGACGCUGAGGAGCGAAAGCGUGGGAGCAAACGGG
rnacentral:rRNA from 1 species